GGUGGUGGGGACACUGUGCUCCUUGGUCAACUUGCACAUGUGCCAGGCAUUGUGCUGGACACAGUAUUUGUACUCCUUUCUUCUCUCGGGGGAUCUGUUCUGAGACUCUCAGGCCUGGGACUGAGGACAGUGCCAAAGUUUACAAACACUACAUUCUUUCCAGUACAUACUUACCUAUGAAAAAGCUUAAUUUAUAAAUUAACUGAUAUCGUAACAACAAUAACUGAUAUGAAAACAAUACGGUUUUAACCACAUACUGUACUAACAGUUUUGUAAAUGUGGUUUCUGUCUCAAAAUAUCUUAUUGGACGUGUUCAUCCGUCUCCUGCCAGAAUUCGAGCCGGUAAAGUGCCUGCCUAUGUCGAAAGCUGCGGUGAGGUGACGGGAAUGACACAGGCAUUGUGCAGUCGCCUUAGGCCACUGCUGACCUCCUAAGGCUAUGUAGAAGCAGGAUCCCCGAGCCAUGAGGAUGAUGACCGCAGGUAAAAAGCACAGAAAGUGAAGCCUCAGAUAAAAACUAUAUUUCGAAUUAAUCCUGGGUCUCUUAUCCAGUUUUCACCAUAUGCUUGCCUCAUAUAGUGGAUUAAACAUUUUUUUAAAGGUGAGCAGGGAAAUAAUGGAAAAGGAACCCAGGCUCAUGGAGACCCAGGAGCAUGCCCAAGGCCACACAAGUGAUUACUGGCCUUACCAGCUCCUUCAGGGUAAGUGUUUCAACCCCGCCCUCCUUGGUUGCCUGGCCUAGAGGUCCAACGUCUGUUUAGUGACCUGGGAUGUUGACGAUGGCCAGCAUGACACAGGACUGCCUGUGAAGCGGAGGUAAAGGCUCCACAUGGGCUGGACACACAGGAAGGGCACAGUCAGCAGCUCUUGCUAUGCUCCACGUGCGCACAGCUCCCAAGUAGAGACACGGCUGCCAGCUCUCUAGGUGGCCCCCAUCCCCCUGUUACCCCAAGUAGUGACAGCUCUCUGGCUCCCUGCAAAGCACAACAGUUGGGAUUUUGGGCUCAUUCUCCAGACAGGUGCAAUUUCUCACCUCUUACUCUGACACUUUCUGCACAAUUGAUCAGAAAACUGUGUCCAAAUUAACCUAGAUUUAGCUCUGACCUCACCUCUUCUGACACCGGCAAUUUCCUCCUACCUCUUCCCUCCUCCAGGCCCCAGCCCCCUGGGUUUCUCCAUUUCCUUGAAAAUGUCCUGCUGACCUGACCGGAGAGACCUUGUUGUGCUUGGUCCAAGCCUCUUCUGGACUUGGCUACUUUCUCAGGUUGCCUCUCUUCUCUGGUGACAUGGAUUUGGUGACAUGGCACAGGACCCUUGUGAAGAUGAAACCAUUUAUGUAUGCAACAGCGACUUAAAAUUGUGCAACAUUUACAGGAAGAGAAGUGACUGCUGUCAUCAUUUUGAAGUUGUGGCAGGAGGUUCAGCCAGGUUUAGUGCCUUGCUGGAGGUAACAGGCUGGAAGUACCCAAUCAGGGCUUGAGACAUUAAGUUUCAAAUCCAGAGUAAUUUCUGUGUCCACAAAAAUUGCUCCAGGCCCUGUCUUUUACUGGCUAAUCACCAGGGAGCUCACCCGGACCGAGCCCGAGUAUCUGGUCAGCAAAAGCCCAGUGUGCUCCAUACUGUCCCAGCCUGGCUCCGGAGGUGAGUGGUUGAAGAAGGCGUGACUUGUCUACUGUGACCCUGUUCUCUCUCUCUUCCAGUUUUGUUUGGAAUAGCCAAGUACCCAGCACUGUCUGUUCAGGGUGACAAGAGCAAGAUUUGUGGGUGGGGAGUGAGGAUGGGGAAGGGCCUCCAGGUUUCAUUUUCCAAACAAAAAGAACACAUCUUCACAAUUUAUCAGAAAUGUAUACGAUAAAACUCUUGGAAGAAAACAGGGGAGAAGCUUUGUGAUGCUGGAUUUGGCAGUGGCUUCUUGAAUAUGGGCCUAAAAGCGCAGACAACAAAAGAAACAACUGAUGAAAUGGACCACUUCAAAAUUAAAAUCUUUUAAACAUCAAAAGACAUACUCGACCAAAUCAAAAAGCAUAUUUGAAAUGGGAGAAAAUAUUUGAAAAUCAUGUAUCUAAUAAAGGAUUCAUAUCUAGAAUAUAUAAGCACUUAAUAACAGCAACAAGUAUUUAAAAACCCUCAAAUCAAAACAAAACAGAAGCAAUGGGCAGAGGACUUGAAUGGAUAGUUCUCCAAGACAGACAGACGGCCUAUAUGCACAAGAAAAUCGCUCAGCACCAGGCAAAUGAAAAUCACAGCUGCAGCGAGUACAAUCUCACACCUACCAAGAUGGGCGUUAUAACAAAAACAGAGCAAAACUCUAAACCCAGAAAAUAAGACGUGUUGCGCACAGGGUUUUGGUUAAUUCGGGUCGUCUCCAAUACUUAGCACUUCCUGACGCACUCUUGGGAGUUGUGGAACCUUAAGGAGGUACAGAGUUGGGUCAUCUGGAGUGUGUCCUUGAAGAGGAUACUGGGACCCCAGCCACUUCCUGUUUGUCUCUUUCACUUCCUGGUCGCCAUGAGGCCCAUAGUUACCCUCAUGGAAACCUCAGCCAGUUUCUCUCACUGACUUAGCUGGCCUGGCAGCAGCAGAGGGGCCGUGAGAAAGCUGAAGACGCCAACUAUGGGGAGGACUUUCAUGAAAUCCUGCAGACUCCAAGGUUCUGUGAGUGACCGGGUCUGAUGCCUUUGCCACAUCAUCUGUGUGGCUAUACGAACACUGACAGCCAGAGAGAGGUACAGCCUUUGCCUUGACCUCCACAUGAGGCUCGAGGGCUUGGAGAUGUCAGCUUGUCCUGUCUGAAUGUCCACGCCCAGGGGAAGGUUGGAAGCCUUUGGUUGUUACCUGCCUAGAACUCCAUGGCUCAUGUGCCUAUGUCUUCUGGGUGCUCCCUCUUUUCUCCAAGAUUACAGUGGUCUGGGGAAAGUGGGUACUAGUGAAGAGAUGAUGUGGGGGCAUUGCCCCAGUAAGAGUGGAGAAGUGUCCCUCCUGGUGAUAGAUACAGGAAAGGUUCAGUCCUGAAAGGACCAGGGACAUUAGAAGUUGGACUAGACCUUGAACAAUGGAUCUUUCCAGUGGACGUGAGUUCGCUUAAGCUUUUCAUAGUAAGAGUCAAGCGUGGCUAAUGAGCAGCUGUGUGGCAACUUGUAGGAAGCAGGCAUAGAGCUAGCGUUUGGCAGGAGAGGCUCUGACUAGAUUCAGAAAGAGCCACCCAGGAUUAGAAGUUCAGGCUGCUUCCCCAGAAUGGACAAGGGCAUCAGAACCCCUACUGUCCCGGAGAGAGCACUCUGCCCCACUGCCUGCCUCUGUGCCCUUGUAGAGCAUGGCGCGCCCCAGUUCCCAGCCCACUCUCCACUUCCUCCAGAAGAGGUGGCUGCAGUGGAGGCUGCAGAGUGAGCCAAGCUGCAGCUUCCCAGGAUCCCCUGCCUGCCGCGCUCAAGCCCCAGCCCCUCUUCCUCCCUUUCAUCUGAGCAGAAAACAAGAGAGAGGCCCCAGGCACUGGCAAAGCAUUCCGCUGUGUGCAAUUUGCAUGUUCUGUCUCCAUCCUGAGCUGUACUGGCUUUGGGCAGCCAGAAGAAAGAACAAUGGCUCAGGUCAGAGAUGUUCUGGGUCCAAUUUAGGCUGUAGCGCCUUGUGGUAUGUGCAGGUCUGUGCGUGUAUGGCAAAAUCAGGCCAAGGGAUGUGAGGAGAGACAAAAUGUGCAGGAUAGUGGGAAGAAAUCAGGGGGCCUCAGGGCCAAGACAGACUGCAGAUCUAGGGCUGAGGUCCUCAACCGGCUGUGAUUUGAGUCCCAGGGGACAUGUGAGACCCUCAGGAGACAUUUUGGGUUGUCAUGACAGUGUGCGCAUGGGGAGGGUGGUGGUUGUUGCUGGCAUCUAGUGGGUAGAUGUCAUGGAUACAGCUAAACAUUCUAUGCACAUGGAACAGCCCCCAAACAGCCCCCAGCACCUAACCAGAUGGUGCUGGUUAGGUGGGUCACAGGGAAGGACACAAGCAGAAAAGAGGAGGCUGGGUAGUCGGGUUCAGCUCGUGCCCCCACAGAAGGAACAGUGAGCUCUGGACGUGGGCAAACUGAGACCCUGCUGUCAGCACCUGCGAGCUGGGUGGGCACCUGCAGAGAUGUGGAAUCAGGAGGAGGCACUCCGCGGAUUGCACACAUCCUGGGGGGAAGGCCUGGCCACCUGAGAAAGAAGAGUCAGGUGCUGGGCGGGACAAAAGUCAGGGCCACGUCCAGGUUCAGGUGCAGGGAUGUGAGGUUGGCAGGGGGUGAAUCAGCUUAGGGACCCAGCAAGGGCGGGGCCGUGAGCUGGGGUCUGGGCAAGGGGGAGAAGCCAGAGGGCAAAGGCCGGGACCAUGCCCAGAGCUUCUGCAGUGGGCUUCUCGAGGGAAUCUGGCUGCUGGGAGGGCAGAGCAGAACAAGGAGGGAGGAGCUGAGGUGGACCUCUGACCAGGGCCACACGGGUGUGGUUUGACUCAAAACUCCUGUUGAAAUCAGAGGUGAGUAGAUACCACCCUCGUGGAUGGAUUAAGGCUGUUACUUGGCAGCAGGAGAGAAUUCAGCCUCCUCUCCCCCUUCUGUCCCCACAUGGUGCCUUCCAUCAAGCUGUAAUAGCAGGAAGGCCUUCACCAGAUGUGACCCUCCAUCUUGGACUUCCCAGCCCUGGAACUGUGAACCAAAUAAACCUUUAAUGUUUAUAACUGA